rnacentral:lncRNA from 1 species
CAACAUGAUCCUCUUCUAAAAUUUUUAAGCUGUCUACAUCAAAAUCAUUAGAAAAUACAAUAUUCAGCUUAUCAUCAUGACUUGAAUCAAAACAUUUUUGACUUAGACGAUCUACAGUAUUAACACCAUACACAUAAGUCACAUCACUAAGAUACUUCAUAUCAUCAUAAAUAUUAAAUUUUACAAUUUCUCCAUUAAAUUCCAUAAUGAGUGUAUCAUCCUACACAUCUAUCUUCGUUUUCGUCAUACUGAGGAAAGGUAUUCCAAGCAAAAUAUUAUAGGGAUUAGAUGAUUUAUCAUCUUCCAUAUCUACCACAUAAUCAUCAAUAGAAAAAAUGAGAUUAUCAACUUUGAUAAACACAUCCUCUAGAACUACUUCAAGAUAAGCAACUGAUCUAUCGGCUAGGUGCAUUAUAACACCCGUUUCUUUUAAUGGACCAGCAUUCAAUUUUGAGUAAAUAAACAAUGGCAUAACAUUUAUUUAUGCUCCUAAAUCACACAUGGCUUCCAUUAU